rnacentral:misc_RNA from 1 species
GAAAUGCGAUAAGUAAUGUGAAUUGCAGAAUUCAGUGAAUCAUCGAAUCUUUGAACGCACAUUGCGCCCGCCAGUAUUCUGGCGGGCAUGCCUGUCGGAGCGUCAUUUCAACCAUCAAGCCCCCGGGCUUGUGUUGGGGACCUGCGGCUGCCCGCAGGCCCUGAAAACCAGUGGCGGGCUCGCUGUCACACCGAGCGUAGUAGCAAUCACCUCGCUCAGGGCGUGCUGCGGGUUCCGGCCGUUAAACAGCCUUACAAAACCCAAGGUUGACCUCGGAUCAGGUAGGAAGACCCGCUGAACUUAAGC